GACAGAGGGUGCAAACGUUGUUCGGAAUUACUGGGCGUAAAGCGCGUGUAGGCUGCUCCGCAAGUCGGAUGUGAAAGCCCUGGGCUCAACCCAGGAAGUGCAUUCGAAACUGCAGAGCUGGAGUCCUGGAGAGGAAGGCGGAAUUCUCGGUGUAGAGGUGAAAUUCGUAGAUAUCGAGAGGAACACCGGUGGCGAAGGCGGCCUUCUGGACAGUGACUGACGCUGAGACGCGAAAGCGUGGGGAGCGAACAGG
rnacentral:rRNA from 1 species